rnacentral:rRNA from 1 species
UACCGAAGGGUGCAAACGUUGCUCGGAAUUAUUGGGCGUAAAGCGCACGUAGGCGGCUUAGCAAGUCGGGCGUGAAAGCCCUCGGCUCAACCGAGGAAGUGCACCCGAAACUGCUGAGCUUGAGUGCCGGAGAGGAUUGGCGGAAUUCCCCAAGUAGAGGUGAAAUUCGUAGAUAUGGGGAGGAACACCGGUGGCGAAGGCGGCCAUCUGGACGGUAACUGACGCUGAGACGCGAAAGCGUGGGUAGCAAACAGG